rnacentral:tRNA from 1 species
AGAGGCGUAGCCCAGCUGGUUUAGAGCGCUGCAGUCACAUUGCAGAGGUCAAGGGUUCGAAUCCCUUCGUCUCUACUA